UACAGAGGGUGCGAGCGUUGUUCGGAAUUACUGGGCGUAAAGCGCGCGCAGGCGGCCUUUUAAGUCUGCUGGUGAAAUGCCGGGGCUCAACCCCGUGCCCGCCACAGAUACUGGGAGGCUGGAGACGAGUAGAGGCAAGCGGAAUUCCGGGUGUAGCGGUGGAAUGCGUAGAGAUCCGGAGGAAGACCGGUGGCGAAGGCGGUCUGCUGGGCAGUUUCUGACACUGAGGCGCGACAGCGUGGGAGCAAACAGG
rnacentral:rRNA from 1 species